GUAGGGAAUAUUGGACAAUGGGGGGAACCCUGAUCCAGCCAUGCCGCGUGGAGGAAGACUGCCCUCUGGGUUGUAAACUCCUUUUAUAUGGGAAGAACCGUCCUCAUUAAUGAGUGACCUGACGGUACCAUAGGAAUAAGCACCGGCUAACUCCGUGCCAGCAGCCGCGGUAAUACGGAGGGUGCAAGCGUUAUCCGGAUUCACUGGGUUUAAAGGGUGCGUAGGCGGAUAAAUAAGUCAGUGGUGAAAUCAACGGGCUCAACCUGUUAACUGCCAUUGAUACUGUGUAUCUUGAAUAUGAGAGAGGUAGGCGGAAUGUUGCAUGUAGCGAUGAAAUGCUUAGAUAUGCUACGGAACACCGAUUGCGAAGGCAGCUUACUAUUUCGUAAUUGACGCUGAGGCACGAAAGCGUGGGUAGCGAACAGGAUUAGAAACCCCGGUAUCC
rnacentral:rRNA from 1 species